rnacentral:rRNA from 1 species
UUGGGACUGAGAUACGGCCCAGNNNNNNACGGGAGGCAGCAGUGGGGAAUAUUGCACAAUGGGCGCAAGCCUGAUGCAGCGACGCCGCGUGGGGGAUGACGGCCUUCGGGUUGUAAACUCCUUUCGCUAGGGACGAAGCGUUUUGUGACGGUACCUGGAGAAGAAGCACCGGCUAACUACGUGCCAGCAGCCGCGGUAAUACGUAGGGUGCGAGCGUUGUCCGGAAUUACUGGGCGUAAAGAGCUCGUAGGUGGUUUGUCGCGUCGUUUGUGUAAGCCCGCAGCUUAACUGCGGGACUGCAGGCGAUACGGGCAUAACUUGAGUGCUGUAGGGGAGACUGGAAUUCCUGGUGUAGCGGUGGAAUGCGCAGAUAUCAGGAGGAACACCGAUGGCGAAGGCAGGUCUCUGGGCAGUAACUGACGCUGAGGAGCGAAAGCAUGGGUAGCGAACAGGAUUAGAUACCCUGGUAGUCCAUGCCGUAAACGGUGGGCGCUAGGUGUGAGUCCCUUCCACGGGGUUCGUGCCGUAGCUAACGCAUUAAGCGCCCCGCCUGGGGAGUACGGCCGCAAGGCUAAAACUCAAAGGAAUUGACGGGGGCCCGCACAAGCGGCGGAGCAUGUGGAUUAAUUCGAUGCAACGCGAAGAACCUUACCUGGGCUUGACAUACACCAGAUCGCCGUAGAGAUACGGUUUCCCUUUGUGGUUGGUGUACAGGUGGUGCAUGGUUGUCGUCAGCUCGUGUCGUGAGAUGUUGGGUUAAGUCCCGCAACGAGCGCAACCCUUGUCUUAUGUUGCCAGCAAUUCGGUUGGGGACUCGUGAGAGACUGCCGGGGUUAACUCGGAGGAAGGU